UAUGACAGGAACUCUGGAGGUGGUUGUUUUGUAUUCUUCAAUUUUGGAACUGUUGAUCUUGCUGUGAGUAAAGAGGCAUCGACUCACCAAGCACUGCCACCAGCACUGUUACUGGAAACUUGAAGACCCAAGUCUCUGUCCAGACCCUCAGUGCGAACUGACAACACUCCAUCCAAAGUCAACUACGACCUGGUACCUGGAUUUUUGUCCAUGGUGAUUCCUGCCACCUUACUACUGAAGAAGACACCAUUCCAGUGGACCACUGUGACCCAAGAAACAUUCAGCCAUCAUGAUGUGGCCUUUACCUCCACUCCUGUCCUACUCUGCCCAGAUUCAGCACAGCCCUUUAUAAUGCAGUCAAGAGUCUUCAAGCCAAAUAACUAAAGCUAUUUUAUCAUAAAAAAGGCCAAGUUUAUUCCAUAAAUGUACAGCUCAUUUCUGCAGUUUAAAGUCUUCAGAGACACUUAGUAAACUUGGACCGGGGGAUUUUGUUUUGUUUUGUUUUGUUUUGUUUAAAUCGUCAACACUGAAGAAAGGCAUCAUCUCUGAGAACAACAUUGGACCAUACUCCACAGUCUAAAAUGAUUAAAGUUUAAUGAGCUGCCUAGGAUCCUGUCAAGGUCACUGGACUCCUGUUAUUUUCCUACUUCAAAUCUAGCUGUCUACUGAAUGAGAAAGCAGAUAUUCUGACCCAUUGGGAUCAAAACCAAGGCACAUUGAUUUCCUCCUAGUAUCAUCUUUGGGUUACUCAGGAACCAAAACUUUUCAUACCGAUUUAAGAAACUCUACUAAGGACUCCCUUUAUCUAACCAUCUCACAAGUCUUCAAUCAGAUUCCUGAAAAGGCCUCUUGAUACAUCAAGAUAGAACCUAUAUGCAUUUUGUGAACAACUUAUCCUUAUCACUGGUUUUGCAAAGGCUUUGUGCUCAUGAAGCUCCUUGAAGAAAAGCUAUGUGGAAGUCCAGAGUAAAGUGAAGCUGCUCUGGAUGAAGUAGUGAAGCGGGAAUAGGGGUCUGCAGCCUGCCACCACCAUCUUCCUUUACUACCAUGGACUUCCCUAUGUAAAAUUCUUCAGAAAAUAUUACUUGGAACCACUGCCCUAGACAACAUGUUUGACCUGAAUGGCAUUCUGAUCUUUUAUGUAUUUCCAACCCAAUAUAGUUCAUACUCAGUUAAUGCUGAACAUGUUUGGAGAUGGGUAUGCCUUUAGCAAGAGAAUGAUCGUACAGCAUUGUUGAAUGAAAUUUUAUUAAUAGCAUUCCAUCCACGGUGGACUUCGUAAAGUUGGAUAUAGCCAGAGAGCAAUUCAUAUAUAUCCUACACUGAAGAACCCCAUAACUAAUGGUACUGGAAGUACAUAACUUGGAAGUCAUGAAACUUGGAUAUAUGAACUGCCUGAAAGCUGGUAUUGAAGCUGAUGCCUCAUUGAGACCAUCUUAGACCAAGUUGUUCAUUUGCCCUCUCAUUGUGUUACUCCACAUACAGAAGGUAAUGAUUAACUGUGAAGCAGAAUUCAAAUACAGUUUUUCCUGCUCAUCAUUCAUUGCCUCAAAUUUUGGGUCAUGUGAUACAACUAGUAGUGAUUAGACUGCUCCAUGUUUUUUUGUUUGUUAUUUAGUAACAACUUUUCAGGGCUUAAGCUAAACUUCUGUAUCUGCCUAUUCGAAUUAACUACUCAAUUCUACAUGGACCAGAUGAUCCUGAAGACACAUUCUCUAAACAUCCUUUAUCUUAUGUGUGACUUCAAAUACAGCUGGAAAAUUUUCCUCUACCCAGUGAGAUAUUCUUUAAUGAUUAGUCUUCAUGCCUGGUACCAUCAACUGUAUAUCAUGGGCAUAGUUGGACAUAGACAUUUGACUCGUCUCUAGGUCGUGAUAGCUUUCUAGGCACUUCAAAUAGCAUAUUGCCAACCAUUUUGCUGGAAAAGUAGACUAACUUGGAAAAAAAUCUAUAAAUGGCAGCUAAGGAUUUUUUCAGUAUUCUUGAGUUUCUGUCCUUGUAUAUAUUUUCAAUAGAAUUUCAUCUGUCUCAUCCUAUCCCUUUAUACUGGUUCAGAGUGGCUGACUUUAUUCCUUACUAUGAAGUGUUCUUAAAGCAUUAAGAUUAUUUUUUUUUUUGUAGAAAGGAUAAAAUUCCAGAAUAUCCAAAUCAUAUAGUGAACAAGACUUCAAUUUGUGACCUGAGAAAAUCUCAUUCUUCGUAGUCAAGAGCCAACUGCCAUCAGCUACUCUUAAGUACACAAUUGAAACUGCCUCCUUUAUAUCAUGAUUCUUGCCACAAAUCAGACUCUGAUCUAAUUAGACUGCUCAUGGUCAGCAAAUCAAAAUCUGGAUGACAUCUGCUUGUAUAUACAACUAUUUGUAAAGAAGAAAUCACAGAUUUCGCUUUUCUAUUAUCUCUAUAUUGUUAGCUCUUUAUUUGUAGUAAAAAGUCUACACUGCCAGUUAUUCCCUCCUGCCAUACUCAGUUAAAGUGAAGAAUCAAGAAUCAGUGAUUGGAUAAGUAGGAAAAGCUAAAACCUAAGGCAAAAGCCUUCAUCUAGGACCUUUUCUACUAUCUUCAUGCCUCGGAUCUCAUCUAAAUCAACAGUGCCAUCUAACCAGUCUGAGGCCUUGACUUGCCUUUAAGAUGAUUCUUGGAGAUGGGCUGUAUUACAGAAGGUGAAGACUUGAUUACCAAAGAAAGUAGAGCCAACUAUGACAAGCCUGGUUCUACAAUCCUAUUGCUCCCAGAUGUAGCAUAGACUCCUAACUAGAACCUCAAGUCUGCAUUGAGGAUAUAGCCUUCUAAGCUGGCAGUUCUUGCACAGAUGAGCAGGAAAAUGAAAGCUGCUAUACCCAACUGGCCCUUUGAGAUCCAAAAAUUAUGUCUGGAGUAAACCCUGUGGAAUAACUCUGGAGUACCCAGGACAAAUCUAAUUUACAGAGCUUCAUUAUUAAUCUGCCUGUCCUUCAAGAUGAUAGCUUAACUAUUGGUAUGGCUGGCCCUGCUGAAAUUACUGUUUGUCUGUUUACUAGUCUUCAGCUCUUAACCUGCCUUUUUUUUGACAUGCUACUUCAAUCAGACUAACUGGCCUUGAGAAGACUACAGUCAGUUUCAGCCUCUCUUGUGCCCAGUUCCAGCAAGGAAUUUUGAAUAGAAGAAACCUGUACCUCUCCCCACCAGAACUUAAUAUUCACAGCAGGAAGGACCAUGCUGCAUACUCUUCAAUCAGCAACCUCAAGUAGAGAAUAACCCUGCUUAUUUUCGAUGCUUGAAACGGCUAUUUUACCUAAAAGUAGAAUAGCAGGUUGAAAGCAGAGUACAUUGCUGUUUUCCUGUGGUAACUCAGAAAUGAACAUGAUCGACCAGGACUCAGAAAUUACAAGUUCAUCUUAACAAGAGACAGAAAGCAACACCAGUUUACUGCUGAACUUUGCCACUAACUCAAACACCCUCACAGACAUGCUUAUCAAUUAGGAGGCUGGUUUUCCUGCUUCAUAUCACUAAUGUACUGGGACUGAUAGAUGUGACUUGAAAGCAAACCUAUGAUGACUUGUAGAGUAUGAUGCUAAUGGAAAUUAUUGUUUAUUCAAGUGAAUUGUAAAUUUCCUGAGGAUUUUUGGAAUUUGAUUACCAAGGAAGAAAUACCAGCUGCCAAAAGUCGACUUUAUGGGCAAAGAUUAAGCUUUCUGUAUCUGGUCUUAUCCUGGAUGUUAGCUGUUUUGUUUUGUUUUGUUAUUAUUGCUCAGCAUCCAUUCCGUCUCACUAUAACAACUUCGUGUUUUUUGAAACCAUCUCUUCCAACUUCCAGUCUGUGUGGUUUAGACUUUUUGAAUCUUGUACUGGACAUGCUAUUCCAAUUUCAUCAAUCAGCAAAGUCCAUCUUGACUCUAGUGAUUGGUUCAAGAAUGGAUGCAUGAUUCAAGUUUGUUCAAUGAUAAUCAACCCUAGGCGUUUUACUCAGUUGUGGAGAAGUUCUCAUUACUUAGAUGCUUGAGUGUUACAGGAGAAAACUCAAACCAACAGGGCCUACUAUGUUGAAUGACUCAGGCAGAGAAUGAAGCCAGUACAGAGGGAAACAGAGCCAAAAGUUCUGAUGACAUUUAUGCCCCUGGAUCCAACCGUGCCUGAAGCUAGUGAUAUCCCCUGGACUUUUCAGUUAUGUGAACCAAUAAAUACCCUUUUUGUUUAAGUUA